GAUGAACGCUAGCGACAGGCUUGACACAUGCAAGUCGAGGGGCAGCGAGGGCGUAGCAAUACGCCUGUCGGCGACCGGCGCACUGGUGAGUAACACGUAUGCAACCUGCCCCCCGACUGGGGAAUAAUCGCGGGAAACCGCGUCUAAUGCCCCAUAGUUCCCCGGGUCCGCAUGGGCCCGGGGGGAAAGGUUUGUUCCGGUCGGGGAUGGGCAUGCGGCGCAUUAGGUAGUUGGCGGGGCGACGGCCCACCAAGCCGACGAUGCGUAGGGGUUCUGAGAGGAAGGUCCCCCACAUUGGUACUGAGACACGGUCCAAACUCCUACGGGAGGCAGCAGUGAGGAAUAUUGGUCAAUGGGCGGAAGCCUGAACCAGCCAAGUAGCGUGAGGGAUGACUGCCCUAUGGGUUGUAAACCUCUUUUAUAAGGGAAUAAAAUACGGGACGUGUCCUGUUUUGCAUGUACCUUAUGAAUAAGGACCGGCUAAUUCCGUG
rnacentral:rRNA from 1 species